AUUGAACGCUGGCGGCAUGCCUUACACAUGCAAGUCGAACGGCAGCAUGAUCUAGCUUGCUAGAUUGAUGGCGAGUGGCGAACGGGUGAGUAAUACAUCGGAACGUGCCCUGUAGUGGGGGAUAACUAGUCGAAAGAUUAGCUAAUACCGCAUACGACCUGAGGGUGAAAGUGGGGGACCGCAAGGCCUCAUGCUAUAGGAGCGGCCGAUGUCUGAUUAGCUAGUUGGUGAGGUAAAGGCUCACCAAGGCGACGAUCAGUAGCUGGUCUGAGAGGACGAUCAGCCACACUGAGACAGAGACACGGCCCAGACUCCUACGGGAGGCAGCAGUGGGGAAUUUUGGACAAUGGGCGAAAGCCUGAUCCAGCAAUGCCGCGUGUGUGAAGAAGGCCUUCGGGUUGUAAAGCACUUUUGUCCGGAAAGAAAUGGCUCUGGUUAAUACCUGGGGUCGAUGACGGUACCGGAAGAAUAAGGACCGGCUAACUACGUGCCAGCCGCCGCGGUAA
rnacentral:rRNA from 1 species